CUUCUUCAGAGCACAGCUCAGUUUCAAGUGGCUGCUGCUGCUUUCGCCCUCCCCUUCAGUGCGACAAUCUCAGAGCUGGUGGAGAAGCAGAGCGCGUGCAGCUGGAUAAAUUCGUAGAUGUGGAAUUUCUGGAUCAAAUGGAGGAGAUUGGACAACGGAGAGAGCCCCUGGAAGAGGGCAGACGGCAAGAGGGCUUCGUGACCAGUGUGUAUUUGCCACCUAGUGACCGUCGUGAGAGCUCUGCAGGGGACAGGAGCAGAGAAUAUUGGGACCUCUCACAUGUGCAGGGACAAAGUGAGCGAGAGAGAAAGCCGGUGCAACGAGAGGAAGAUGGAUAUGUGGCCGGUUCAAUGGGCACAGCAGGCAGCUGUGUCACAGAGCCUAUCAGGCUUUCCCCUAUCCCCUGUGCCGGGGAUAAGGAACAUAAGGAAACAUGCAUUCACCUUGCCAUUACUUUAUUUUCAAUUUUGUUAACAGUUUUUUAAGUCAACAUGAUAUUUUAUAGCAAUUAACUGCAAUUACAAAUCUUAAAAACAUUUUUGUGGAUAAUUCAUGCUUAAUUGUUGUUCCUUCAUUUUCAUUUAAUUCUAAAAGAAAUCAACUCUGCCAUUUUGACAAGCACUUAGUGUUUUUAAAACUGACUAUGAAUACUCUGUUGCUGAGAUUUGUGGUUCUACAUUCUCACAAACUUGCC
rnacentral:lncRNA from 1 species